rnacentral:tRNA from 1 species
ACCUAAAUAGCUUAUUUAGAGUAUAACAUUGAAGAUGUUAGGGAAAUAUAUUAUAUUUUUAGGUA